rnacentral:rRNA from 1 species
AUUGAACGCUGGCGGCAGGCUUAACACAUGCAAGUCGAGCGAGCGGCGGACGGGUGAGUAAUGUCUGGGAAACUGCCUGAUGGAGGGGGAUAACUACUGGAAACGGUAGCUAAUACCGCAUACCAUCAGAUGUGCCCAGAUGGGAUUAGCUAGUAGGUGGGGAAAUGGCUCACCUAGGCGAAGAUCCCUAGCUGGUCUGAGAGGAUGACCAGCCACAGUGGAACUGGGACACGGUCCAGACUCCUCCGGGGGGCAGCGGUGGGGAAUAUUGCACAAUGGGCGAAAGCCUGAUGCAGCCCUGCCGGGGGUGUGAAGAAGGCCUUCGGGUUGUAAAGCACUUUCAGCGGGGAGGCGUUACUCGCAGAAGAGGCACCGGCUAACUCCUGGCCAGCGGCCGCGGUAAUA